AGUUUGAUAUCUAACUGACAUAAUAAACUGCAUGCAUUUGAAGUAUGAAGUUUGAUAUGUUUUGAAAUACAUAUAUACCUGUGAAAUCAUAACGACAGUCAAGAGGGUGUAUAUAUUCGUCACUUUCAAAAGUCUUCUACUGCCUUUCCCUGAGUCCUCCAAAGCAACUAUAGGUUAGUUGGAACUUUCUAAAACCAUGUGAAAAUGCAGUCACACGGCUACUGUUGACCUUCUGACAAUACACAAGGAGGUAUGAAGGAGGAUCAUUCGCUUCUGGACCAUGGUUAACUAUAGGGAUCAAGACAGGAAGGGGAAUAGUGGUUCAAGAUAAAAGACCUGGAGUAUAUAGUGCUACCACUAAGGAACCUCUGUGCUGACCCAGCAGUACUCAGUGUGAGAAUCCUUCAGACUGCAACAGGAUCCACCACCCUUUCUGGGAAGGAAGAGCUUGGGCUCUCUGCUUGGGAAGGAGCAAUGUAUUUAAAUUUGGUGGCUGCUGCUUAAAUGAAUAGGUCCCUGUACAGUAGGAAACAGCAUCUGGCGCAGUCCCUCUUCAGGGCUGAAGAUCAAGCACACACUCCGCUGGAGGCCUUCUGUGAUCCCAACACCUCCCUCAGAUGGAGCAGAACUUGUCUGCCCUCCUCAGCACAUCAGCCCUAAUGAUGCUGAAGUCCAUGAAAGAUAAUUGCCUUGAGUCAUUCUCUAGCCACAGAGAAGAGAGAGACAGAGCAUGAACGGGGGAGGGGCAGAGAGAGAGG